CUACGGGUUGCAGCAGUGAGGAAUUUUGCGCAAUGGGGGGAACCCUGACGCAGCAACGCCGCGUGAGUGAUGAAGGCUUUCGGGUCGUAAAGCUCUGUCAAGUGGGAAGAACCUAUGCAGUGUUAAUAUCACUGUAUACUGACGGUACCACUGAAGGAAGCACCGGCUAGCUCCGUGCCAGCAGCCGCGGUAAUACGGGGGGUGCAAGCGUUAUUCGGAAUCAUUGGGCGUAAAGGGCACGUAGGCGGCUUGGUAAGUCAGAUGUGAAAGCCCGGGGCUUAACCCCGGAAGUGCAUUUGAUACUGUCAGGCUUGAGUAUGGGAGAGGGAAGUGGAAUUCCUGGUGUAGAGGUGAAAUUCGUAGAUAUCAGGAGGAACACCGGUGGCGAAGGCGACUUCCUGGACCAAUACUGACGCUGAGGUGCGAAGGCGUGGGUAGCAAACAGGAUUAGAUACCCUGGUAGUC
rnacentral:rRNA from 1 species